UACGGGGGGGGUAAGCGUUGUUCGGAAUUACUGGGCGUAAAGGGCUCGUAGGCGGCCAACUAAGUCAGACGUGAAAUCCCUCAGCUUAACUGGGGAACUGCGUCUGAUACUGGAUGGCUUGGAUUCGGGAGAGGAAUGCGGAAUUCCAGGUGUAGCGGUGAAAUGCGUAGAUAUCUGGAGGAACACCGGUGGCGAAGGCGGCAUCCUGGACCGAGAUUGACGCUGAGGCGCGAAAGCCAGGGGAGCAAACGGG
rnacentral:rRNA from 1 species